CCUACGGGAGGCAGCAGUAGGGAAUCUUCCGCAAUGGACNAAAGUCUGACGGAGCAACGCCGCGUGAGCGAUGAAGGCCUUCGGGUCGUAAAGCUCUGUUGUUAGGGAAGAACAAGUACCGUUCGAAUAGGGCGGUACCUUGACGGUACCUAACCAGAAAGCCACGGCUAACUACGUGCCAGCAGCCGCGGUAAUACGUAGGUGGCAAGCGUUAUCCGGAAUUAUUGGGCGUAAAGCGCGCGCAGGCGGUCCUUUAAGUCUGAUGUGAAAGCCCACGGCUCAACCGUGGAGGGUCAUUGGAAACUGGGGGACUUGAGUGCAGAAGAGGAGAGCGGAAUUCCACGUGUAGCGGUGAAAUGCGUAGAGAUGUGGAGGAACACCAGUGGCGAAGGCGGCUCUCUGGUCUGUAACUGACGCUGAGGCGCGAAAGCGUGGGGAGCGAACAGGAUUAGAUACCCUGGUAGUCCACGCCGUAAACGAUGAGUGCUAAGUGUUAGAGGGUUUCCGCCCUUUAGUGCUGCAGCAAACGCAUUAAGCACUCCGCCUGGGGAGUACGGUCGCAAGACUGAAACUCAAAUGAAUUGACGGGG
rnacentral:rRNA from 1 species